rnacentral:rRNA from 1 species
AACGCGAAGAACCUUACCUGGGCUUGACAUCCUGUGAACAUCUAAGAGAUUAGGUUUCCGAGCAAUCGGACACAGAGACAGGUGCUGCAUGGCUGUCGUCAGCUCGUGCCGUGAGGUGUUGGGUUAAGUCCCGCAACGAGCGCAACCCUUGUCGUGUGUUGGUCCACAAGAUCUCUCACACGAGACCGCCGGUGACAAGCCGGAGGAAGGUGGGGAUGACGUCAAGUCAGCAUGGCCCUUACGUCCAGGGCUACACACGUGCUACAAUGGACGGUACAAAGCGCUGCCAACCCGCGAGGGGGAGCUAAUCGCAAAAAACCGUUCUCAGUUCGGAUUGCAGGCUGCAACUCGCCUGCAUGAAGCUGGAAUCGCUAGUAAUGGCAUAUCAGAACGAUGCCGUGAAUACGUUCCCGGGCCUUGUACACACCGACUGUAC